ACGCUGGCGGCGUGCUUAACACAUGCAAGUCGAACGGAAAGGCCCUGCUUUUGUGGGGUGCUCGAGUGGCGAACGGGUGAGUAACACGUGAGUAACCUGCCCUUGACUUUGGGAUAACUUCAGGAAACUGGGGCUAAUACCGGAUAGGAGCUCCUGCUGCAUGGUGGGGGUUGGAAAGUUUCGGCGGUUGGGGGUGGACUCGCGGCUUAUCAGCUUGUUGGUGGGGUAGUGGCUUACCAAGGCUUUGACGGGUAGCCGGCCUGAGAGGGUGACCGGCCACAUUGGGACUGAGAUACGGCCCAGACUCCUACGGGAGGCAGCAGUGGGGAAUAUUGCACAAUGGGCGGAAGCCUGAUGCAGCAACGCCGCGUGCGGGAUGACGGCCUUCGGGUUGUAAACCGCUUUCGCCUGUGACGAAGCGUGAGUGACGGUAAUGGGUAAAGAAGCACCGGCUAACUACGUGCCAGCAGCCGCGGUGAUACGUAGGGUGCGAGCGUUGUCCGGAUUUAUUGGGCGUAAAGGGCUCGUAGGUGGUUGAUCGCGUCGGAAGUGUAAUCUUGGGGCUUAACCCUGAGCGUGCUUUCGAUACGGGUUGACUUGAGGAAGGUAGGGGAGAAUGGAAUUCCUGGUGGAGCGGUGGAAUGCGCAGAUAUCAGGAGGAACACCAGUGGCGAAGGCGGUUCUCUGGGCCUUUCCUGACGCUGAGGAGCGAAAGCGUGGGGAGCGAACAGGCUUAGAUACCCUGGUAGUCCACGCUGUAAACGGUGGGUACUAGGUGUGGGGUCCAUUCCACGGGUUCCGUGCCGUAGCUAACGCUUUAAGUACCCCGCCUGGGGAGUACGGCCGCAAGGCUAAAACUCAAAGGAAUUGACGGGGCCCCGCACAAGCGGCGGAGCAUGCGGAUUAAUUCGAUGCAACGCGUAGAACCUUACCUGGGUUUGACAUGGAUCGGGAGUGCUCAGAGAUGGGUGUGCCUCCUUUGGGGUCGGUUCACAGGUGGUGCAUGGCUGUCGUCAGCUCGUGUCGUGAGAUGUUGGGUUAAGUCCCGCAACGAGCGCAACCCUUGUUCACUGUUGCCAGCACGUUAUGGUGGGGACUCAGUGGAGACCGCCGGGGUCAACUCGGAGGAAGGUGGGGAUGACGUCAAGUCAUCAUGCCCCUUAUGUCCAGGGCUUCACGCAUGCUACAAUGGCUGGUACAGAGAGUGGCGAGCCUGUGAGGGUGAGCGAAUCUCGGAAAGCCGGUCUCAGUUCGGAUUGGGGUCUGCAACUCGACCUCAUGAAGUCGGAGUCGCUAGUAAUCGCAGAUCAGCAACGCUGCGGUGAAUACGUUCCCGGGGCUUGUACACACCGCCCGUCAAGUCAUGAAAGUUGGUAACACCCGAAGCCGGUGGCCUAACCGUUGUGGGGGAGCCGUCGAAGGUGGGACUGGUGAUUAGG
rnacentral:rRNA from 1 species